GUGAAUCAUCAAAUCUUUGAACGCAAAUUGCACUUUCUGGGAUUACGGAAAGUAUGCCUGUUUGAGGGUCAGAAAAAUCGACAUCGUUGCUGUUGCGGCGUUUCGUGCUGACGCGUCUGGAUUGAGUUGUCUUAUCUUCGGUUAAGUGACUUAAAAUUUUGCAUGAUUUUCGAACGUGUUUAUAUUUCUUACGUACUUUUGAGAUAUCGAAUUCUUUAUUAGCUUCAGUUAUCCUC
rnacentral:misc_RNA from 1 species